AUCUGUGCGAAGUGUCGUUCUUUUGGACUCUGCGAAUUUCAAGUUUCUGAAACGAAAUAGCUAGACUAAUUAUCUGUUAAUAGAAUUGAUGUUCGAAAUCAUGGUAUCUGAGUGAACUUCAUUGGAGCAGAAAAUCUUGGAGGGAACAUCAAUACUAUUCUAAUGACAUUCCAUAGGAAUAAAAAUCCAAUGGGACCAAGUUCUUAGCAGUUCACACCUAGUCAGAAGUACAAAAUUGAGAACCAUGCCGAUCAGCAAGUGUUAGUUAUAAUCUAAUGAGGAACAGGAUAUCUGAAUGGAAAAAUUGCAAGGUUUCCCACUUCCCAAGCUGUUCAAGUACUGGUAUCACAACAUAAGUGCCAAGAAGAGAUAUGAAGGCCAAGUUAAUAAAAAGUAGUUACUUUAUUGCAAUAACACAUUAAAAAUGAAUUAAUUUGAAAUAAAUAUAUUAAUAAAGCAUUGAAUGUUACUUGAACUACACAUCUGUAGAAAAGAGUGCGGUACAAGUUCAGGUUCAUCACAGGGGCCUUGGAACGGUUUUCAAAGUGGGGGCUGAUCAUGCAAAAAAUCACAAUCAUACGUAAUUUUUACGUUUUUGUACAUGGUUUUGGAAAAAAGUCGGGGCUGAAGCCCGCCUCCCCCCCGCUUCCGCGGCCCCUGCAUCACCGGGCAAUGACAUUGAAGUAUACAAGUUUUGGUACAAAAUUUCACACAAAAUACAAGGAAGAAAUAUUUUUCCAACGGGCAAUUGUAUCACCUUUUAUUGAUAUUUUGUACUUCUACUAGUUCUUAGUAGUUUUUAUGAAAAUAAAUAUUAUUUUCCAGUUUAAAGGCCUAUUCAAUAUUAGAAUAGGUCUUCUUUUAGUGAC